CCUACGGGUGGCAGCAGUGGGGAAUAUUGGACAAUGGGGGCAACCCUGAUCCAGCCAUGCCGCGUGUGUGAAGAAGGCCCUCGGGUUGUAAAGCACUUUCAGUGAGGAAGAACGCCUGGUGGUUAAUACCCAUCAGGAAAGACAUCACUCACAGAAGAAGCACCGGCUAACUCCGUGCCAGCAGCCGCGGUAAUACGGAGGGUGGCGAGCGUUAAUCGGAAUUACUGGGCGUAAAGCGCGCGUAGGUGGCUUGAUAAGCCGGUUGUGAAAGCCCCGGGCUCAACCUGGGAACGGCAUCCGGAACUGGCAAGCUAGAGGGCAGGAGAGGAAGGUAGAAUUCCCGGUGUAGCGGUGAAAUGCGUAGAGAUCGGGAGGAAUACCAGUGGCGAAGGCGGCCUUCUGGGCUGACACUGACACUGAGGUGCGAAAGCGUGGGUAGCAAACAGGAUUAGAUACCCCUGUAGUC
rnacentral:rRNA from 1 species